rnacentral:rRNA from 2 species
GGCUAUACAUGCAAGUCGAGCGAAUCGAUGGGAGCUUGCUCCCUGAGAUUAGCGGCGGACGGGUGAGUAACACGUGGGCAACCUGCCUAUAAGACUGGGAUAACUUCGGGAAACCGGAGCUAAUACCGGAUACGUUCUUUUCUCGCAUGAGAGAAGAUGGAAAGACGGUUUACGCUGUCACUUAUAGAUGGGCCCGCGGCGCAUUAGCUAGUUGGUGAGGUAAUGGCUCACCAAGGCGACGAUGCGUAGCCGACCUGAGAGGGUGAUCGGCCACACUGGGACUGAGACACGGCCCAGACUCCUACGGGAGGCAGCAGUAGGGAAUCUUCCGCAAUGGACGAAAGUCUGACGGAGCAACGCCGCGUGAACGAAGAAGGCCUUCGGGUCGUAAAGUUCUGUUGUUAGGGAAGAACAAGUACCAGAGUAACUGCUGGUACCUUGACGGUACCUAACCAGAAAGCCACGGCUAACUACGUGCCAGCAGCCGCGGUAAUACGUAGGUGGCAAGCGUUGUCCGGAAUUAUUGGGCGUAAAGCGCGCGCAGGUGGUUCCUUAAGUCUGAUGUGAAAGCCCACGGCUCAACCGUGGAGGGUCAUUGGAAACUGGGGAACUUGAGUGCAGAAGAGGAAAGUGGAAUUCCAAGUGUAGCGGUGAAAUGCGUAGAGAUUUGGAGGAACACCAGUGGCGA